rnacentral:rRNA from 1 species
CCUACGGGAGGCAGCAGUGAGGAAUAUUGGUCAAUGGGCGAGAUCCUGAACCAGCCAAGCCGCGUGAGGGAUGACGGCCCUAUGGGUCGUAAACCUCUUUUGUCAGAGAACAAAACCCGGGACGUGUCCCGGACUGCAUGUAUCCUAUGAAUAAGCAUCGGCUAACUCCGUGCCAGCAGCCGCGGUACUACGGAGGAUCCGAGCGUUAUCCGGAUUUAUUUGGUUUAAAGGGUGCGUAGGCGGGCUCUUAAGUCAGCGGGGAAAGUCUGGGGCUCAACCCAAGAAGAGCCGUUGACACGGGCAGGCUUGAGUUGGUUAGAGGCAGGCGGAAUGCGUGGUGUAGCGGUGAAAUGCUUAGAUAUCACGCAGAACCCCGAUUGCGAAGGCAGCGUGCCAGGGCAUGACUGACGCUGAGGCACGAAAGCGUGGGGAUCAAACAGGAUUAGAUACCCUAGUAGUC